rnacentral:rRNA from 1 species
UACGUAGGGUGCAAGCGUUAAUCGGAAUUACUGGGCGUAAAGCGUGCGCAGGCGGUUUUGUAAGUCUGAUGUGAAAUCCCGGGGCUCAACCUGGGAAUUGCAUUGGAGACUGCAAGGCUAGAAUCUGGCAGAGGGGGGUAGAAUUCCACGUGUAGCAGUGAAAUGCGUAGAGAUGUGGAGGAACACCGAUGGCGAAGGCAGCCCCCUGGGUCAAGAUUGACGCUCAUGCACGAAAGCGUGGGGAGCAAACAGG